CUAGAGAGAAGGAGAGAGAGACUGGGCGAGCUAGAGAGAGAAAGGGAGAGAGAGGCUGCCAUUUUCUAGAGAGAAGGAGGAAAAAGAAAGGAGAAAAUGUGAAGGAAGAAGAAGAGGAGAAAGAAAGGCUCGUGGUCUCUAAGGUAUGGGUUUGGAUUGUGAUUUUCUUUUUCCCUUCUUCUUGGUUCUAGUUGAAUUGAAGUCCUUGGUGGUGCUAGGUUCUAAUCUCAUAAGAGCAUAGGGAUUGUUGUUAGGGUUUCGGUCAACAAGAUGGUAAGGGUGUUUUGAUUUCUUAAUAUUGAUCUAUGUGAGAUUUUUGGUUGUUUGGUCUAAUGUUUUGGUGGUAAGAAUAAGGUGUUGGAGGCUAGCAAACAAAAUGGUGACCAUAACUAUUGUUGGGUUCCUUGAUUUCUAUCAAAGGAGGUAGCAAAUAGUAUUUCUCUGUGGUACCCAUGGUGAUGUGGGGAGUUCCAACGUCAGGGUGUGUAUGGUGUGGGGGCAUCCAAUGGAUGAGAAAACGAUUAGUUUAAUGCAAAAUUUUCUAAAGAAUAAUAUUAUGUUUAUUUUUUAACGUUCCAGAACUUAUCAGUGGGACUUGAACUUUAAUUAUUUUAAAAAACGCUGUAUGAAAAUUAUUAUUUUCCUUUUAAACUAUUGGGCACAACUUGCAUGUUUUAGCAAGGCCCCACUGGGAUUUUUCAUAUAAUAAAUGGCUUUCUUUUAUA